CCUACGGGUGGCAGCAGUGAGGAAUAUUGGUCAAUGGGCGGGAGCCGGAACCAGCCAAGUCGCGUGAGGGAUGACGGCCCUAUGGGUUGUAAACUUCUUUUGUCGGGGAGUAAAGUGCCGUAUGUGUGCUGUUUGGCGUGUACCCGAAGAAAAAGCAUCGGCUAACUCCGUGCCAGCAGCCGCGGUAAUACGGAGGAUGCGAGCGUUAUCCGGAUUUAUUGGGUUUAAAGGGUGCGUAGGCGGACGGUCAAGUCAGCGGUAAAAAUGCGGUGCUCAACGACGUACAGCCGUUGAAACUGGCAGUCUUGAGUGGGCGAGAAGUAUGCGGAAUGCGUGGUGUAGCGGUGAAAUGCAUAGAUAUCACGCAGAACUCCGAUUGCGAAGGCAGCAUACCGGCGCCCGACUGACGCUGAGGCACGAAAGCGUGGGUAUCGAACAGGAUUAGAUACCCCUGUAGUC
rnacentral:rRNA from 1 species